AGGUGGUGCAUGGUUGUCGUCAGCUCGUGUCGUGAGAUGUUGGGUUAAGUCCCGCAACGAGCGCAACCCUCGUCCUAUGUUGCCAGCGGGUCAUGCCGGGGACUCAUGGGAGACUGCCGGGGUCAACUCGGAGGAAGGUGGGAUGACGUCAAAUCAUCAUGCCCCUUAUGUCUUGGGCUUCACGCAUGCUACAAUGGCCGGUACAAAGGGCUGCGAUACCGCGAGGUGGAGCGAAUCCCAGAAAGCCGGUCUCAGUUCGGAUUGGGGUCUGCAACUCGACCCCAUGAAGUCGGAGUCGCUAGUAAUCGCAGAUCAGCAACGCUCGCGGUUCCGAAUACGUUCCGGCCUU
rnacentral:rRNA from 1 species